rnacentral:rRNA from 1 species
GAUUACCCGCUGAACUUAAGCAUAUCACUAAGCGGAGGAAAAGAGACUAACCAGGAUUCCCCUAGUAACGGCGAGUGAAGAGGGAAUAGCCCAGCACCGAAGCCUGCGGUAGGUUUACUGCUAGGCAAUGUGGUGUUUGGGUCGACUCGCGGGAUUGCCACUCCACUCGAAGUCCAGCACUGAGUAUGGUUCCCUGGAUUUGGCCCAGAGAGGGUGAAAGGCCCGUGCGAGUGGAGGUUCAGACAUGUGAGGCAAUUCACCAGGUCGACCUUCGAGUCGGGGUGUUUGGGAAUGCAGC